GAUAUACUCCCUCCUUCUCAAAAUUCUUGUCUUAACUUUGUCUAGAAAUGAAUGUAUCUAAAUACUAAAACUUAAUUAGAUACAUUCAUAUCUUUAAGACAAGAAUUUUGGCAUGGAGGAAGUAUAAG
rfam:Hordeum vulgare subsp. vulgare, WGS project CAJW01000000 data, contig: morex_contig_47989